rnacentral:rRNA from 1 species
GAUGAACGCUGGCGGCGUGCUUAACACAUGCAAGUCGAACGAGAAGUGAAGACGGAAACCUUCGGGCGGAAGGCUUUAUUUCGAGUGGCGGACGGGUGAGUAACGCGUGGGUACCCUGCCUCAUACAGGGGGAUAACAGUUGGAAACGACUGUUAAUACCGCAUAAGACCACAGCACCGCAUGGUGCGGGGGUAAAAACUCCGGUGGUAUGAGAUGGACCCGCGUUCGAUUAGCCAGUUGGCGGGGUAACGGCCCACCAAAGCGACGAUCGAUAGCCGAUCUGAGAGGAUGACCGGCCACAUUGGGACUGAGACACGGCCCAAACUCCUACGGGAGGCAGCAGUGGGGAAUAUUGCAAAAUGGGGGAAACCCUGAUGCAGAGACGCCGCGUGAGUGAAGAAGUAUUUCGGUAUGUAAAGCUCUAUCAGCAGGGAAGAAAAUGACGGUACCUGAGUAAGAAGCCCCGGCUAACUACGU